CCGAGUCACUGAAGGAUGUCUUUAACAAAAAAAAAGUAAGAAAAUCCUACUUUUAUAUGUACAUAAUGGCCCUGAUAGCUUCCAAUAUCCUUUUUUUAUGCUUAGACUCAAUAAACAUGCACCAAGGUUUGAAGGAGCACCCUGUGACCAUCCAUGAAGGCAUCCCUAAAAGGAUCAAAAAGUGAAAAAUUUCUAGUCAAGGUUAGCCUGCCGUCCAAUAGCUCUUCGAUUUCAGAUUCUUUAGGAUGGGAACAAGGCAGAACACUUCCUAGGAACGCAAAAGUGGAUGCAAACAAAAUUUCUAGCCCGUUAUUGACAUGUUAAUAGCUAUCUCAGAUGAAUUGAUUGAACGAUUUCCAGCUUGACACUUGUUUUGCAUGCACCGAACAGUACGACUUGGAAACAUAUUUUACCAUUAAUAAUGCAAAUUAAACUCAGUCUUCGCACUCGAUCUUCAUCGUAGUAUAAACCAUGCACUCUUCGGUCAUAGUUUAAUCAUUCACGAAAUAAAACACGUAAUUGGAUUGAUUGUAUAUUUCUUCGAUUACAAGCUUAUUAAUACAUAAAAAUUUGGAAGCAUGCUCGAUGAAACCUCGACGAGGAAUUGGGUUUCCUUCAAUAAAAGUUUAACAAGAACAAACAAUUAAGAGAUCCAGCUCUUCAAACAAUAAAAGAUUAACGAACGCACCUCCAAGUUUGAACCAUGGAGUCGAAUUCGGAGGCUUCCAUGGAUUGAAAGGAGCGAAGGACGAAGGGUUAUGAGGAAGGAGAUGGACCGAUGAGGAAGAGAAGUGGCGAGCGGAGCAGAGAAGCGAUGUCGGUGAGGUUUUAGGGAGCCUAUCCGAGCAAAAUCUUCUUGCGAGCAGCCUUCCAGACACCCUCAUCAUCUUCUUGCUUCCUCCUGCCCCCGAUUCCUUGUCUCCGAGUUUUCGCUUCCUAGAAUUUUCCAAAUGUCUCCGGGCUGAAGGGUUAUAACUCGGCGACGAGGGCACAUGCCGGGCCGGGUCUGUCGUAAAAACAGCAUUUGCCAGUGAGGCUGGAAAUGGGCUCGGGCCGGCCCGAUGUCUUCGG
rnacentral:lncRNA from 1 species